GCUGAUAUGGCUCAGUUGGUAGAGCGCACCCUUGGUAAGGGUGAGGUCCCCAGUUCGAAUGUUUUGGCG
rnacentral:tRNA from 1 species